GCACCCUUUUCUGAACUUGACUGGGUACCAGCAGGCCCCUGGUUCAGAGCAGGCAGGUCCUUCCACCCCGCUCCCCACCCUCCCUCAGGGCUAGACCCCGGGAUCUGCUCUGUCUGUCUCCCUCUCUGUCUCUGUCUACUUCUGUCUCUGUCUUUCUGUCUCUUUCUCUGUCUCUUUGUCUCUCUGUCUCUCUCUCUGUCUCUCUCUCUGUUUCUCUGUCUUUCUGUCUCUCUGUCUCUCUCUGUCUCCCUCUCUCUCUCUCUCUCUCAUACAGCCUUUCAGGUUCCACGCUGGUCCCUGCAGGAGAAAAGCUCUGUCUCUGGUUCCUGAAAUAUCCGCCUUUGGCUUCGACUGUGGUGCACAGUCUGACAAGGCCAGCUUCACUCCUUUUCCAAGGUUUUCUGCUGUGUGGGGCUCCUAAGAUUCUACUUUUCUCCCUACCCCAUCGACCUUCACACUGAGUGGUUUCUCUGCAGCCUGUUUAGCAACGAGCUGUAAAAACCUGGUCUCCUGCUCCCGUGUUUGGAAUGAAGCAGCUGCCGAACAAAUAUUUUGUGAACGACUCGCAACUGGGGAGCGUUUAAGUUGCAGAAUGAGUGGCCCAGCCCCUCCCAAGCAGGGAGCUGAUGUCAUCACCCCACUUCACAGUGGUGUCACAACUGGCCAGACACUCAACUCCCAGGACGGGACGAAAGCCGUGAGAAUUGAGUCAAGAUUUUUCUUGAUUUCAGGAGACUCCUUCUCCCUAAUCGUCCUGAAGCCACUACUCGCUGGACCCAGGGGCAGAAUUUGACCAGACCAAGAGCCACUGCUGCACUUGUUUACAAACGUGUCUUAAAAGAUUAGAGUCAGACAAAAGUCUGAAAACAAACACUCCUGUUUUGCAGAAGCCAAGGCUGGCUGAGACAAAGGCUCAAAGGGAACGAGUGUGGUCUGAGGAGGAUGUGGAGGCCAGGACCCAGGCCAGGAGGGAGAGAGAGCUGCUCCUGCCCAAGCAGGGACCAACUGGCUCAGUGCACGGCAGCCUUCCUGGGCUGCGGGAAGGCGCUGAGUGACAGGGCCAGUCCCGGGCCUGGGGGAGUCAGACAGGUUUGGGGGAAUCUGUGAACACAGUGCGAGCUGGGAACACGGCCAGCCUCUCGCACACUGCCAGCAAUCCUGACCUGGAGAACUGCCCCGGCCGCCCCAGGUCCAUGGCUUCACAACCUGCAGCGUGGUAGCAAGAUGACAAGGGGAGGAUGAGACGGGGCAGAAGUGAGGAUGCAGGUACCAAGGAGACUGACUGGAUGAGGCGUGGGGACAGAGUGCAGAAUGCACCAAACCACGGAGGCCGUGGGAGCAGGACCCUGGACGUCAGCAGGGACACGGCACCUAACUGUGGUGCAUGGGCCUGGUCUCCCCUCUAUAAACGGCACAGCCCAGGGAGCAGCUCCUCAGCAGAAGCCAGGGGGCCGCAGCGGGCGACCAGGACAUGGGGCCCUCCCGCUCUGCCUGGCACAUGGUCCUCGGGUCCAGAACAGAGAAGAGGGGGAGCCUUCAGGGGAGAAGCUGCCCUGAAGGAGGGUUUGAACUUCGAAUGAACUCAGUAUUCACCCCACAGAAGCUUGCUGAGCCUGGAGAGAAUGGAAAUUGUCAGGGAAAAGACUCCCACCCGCCGUCAGUGCAAACAGGGGCUCUGAGCCCAGUGAGCUCAGGGAAGGAAAAGAAAGAAAGAUGCCUUCUUUGUGUUUUACUUAUGCACAUCUGAUUCACACUGCGUGAAUUCUGAUCCCAAUGCGAACACAGGGAGCAUCUUCCCAUCAAGGUCAAGAGGAAAAUGAUGCUUCCCACUCUGCAGAUUAGAAGCCGUGGUCACCAGAUUGCUUCCUAAACCCGGAAUGCUCCUCGGUCGAUAGUGGCUGGUUCUAACCACGUACCAUGCAACGUGUGGGCUCUGUAAGUCCAGGUUUAAAAUGCAGUAUUCAUCCAAGACAUUGUGAGCAAACUAUUCCCACUGCCAGGGAAAACGGGUAAAUCCUCAGAAAGAUAAUACCCGUGUUAACUAUGAUAUUACAAAGCAAAUGUCUUCAUCCGCUUCUAACAAGACCCCAGACCUAGGUGAUGCUCCAGCUCACGGGUCACCUGCACCCGAGAUUUCAUCUUUACAGGAGCCCCACCUGCCUCUCCUCUUCAUAACCUACACGUGACGCUUAAAUUAGACGCCGGUCCUUGAUGUUAAGCGGUAUCUCUGUGUGCAAAAUUACACUCCUAAAAUCAGAACAUAUCACCAUCAAGAAUAACUUAAGUUGAUCACGUGGGUCACAGUUUCCUCCGUGACUCACACUAUUUCACUUGAUCUGCAUGCAGGUGGGGUGUUCAUUACGCCCACCUGCAGAGGAGGCGGCUCCGCUGCACGACAGUCUUUCCGAACCAGGACUGACCAGGUCUUCAGACUCUCAUGCCUGCGCCACCGCCCCGCUGCAGUGUCUGCCUUGGCUGCCACCGUUCCUGGGAGACGGAUCCGAUCUCUGCCGCUGGCUUCCAGACUGUCGGCUUCGGGUGGAGUACGGUCCCAGAUGCAGUGUCUGCACAAAGACCCCCCUGACCGACCCCGUCCGCGUGGACCCGCGGCCUGUCAACGCCACAGCAUCUCCCCUGAACCCCGCAAAAAAUAGGACCCCAUGAGGUGCCUGGAUGCCAGGACAAGAGAACUCCAGAGAGGAGGCCACCACACGGAGAGGGGAGAUGUCCUGCUUCACAGUUUGCUUGUGCCCAUCCCGGCCACGAUCCCAGCAAUCAACUGACUGUUUAAUCCAUCUCAGGGAAAGCCAGGUAAUUUCAUUCUUCCAUCAAGAGUGCUGCCAUGUGUUCAACUAAAACGUACAUGAGUAGCUUGCAAAUGCUGCAGGAAUGACUUUCCACCAGAUCGACGCAUUCCCAGGCUUCCGCUGCGCACAGAGCCCUCAGGGUAACUGGGCUUUCUCACCUUGUGACACAGCCCACGAGCUGCAAAGUGCCUUCUUUAUUUCCUUUUCUUAAAAAGUACGCUCAGUCUACUCUGGACUUUCCCAUCUGUCAGGGCAGCUUGAGGUGACUUCCUGCUCUGUCAGCUGACCAUGAGUCACGCCAAGGCUGCACAUUAGUGAGGCUGCUUCUGCAUCCU
rnacentral:lncRNA from 1 species